GGAAAAUGCAUUAUAAUGGAAAAGUUGGAUGGUGGCUUUCAAAGCAAAGAAAUUUUAAUAUAAAAUGUUAUUCAAAAUGUGGAUUGUGUCUAUUGUCUUUUUAUGUCCCUAAUUGUAAAACUGUCACUAGUAGUAUGGUAUACAUGAACUCACUAACUCCAAAUUCGAUGAUAAGAUGAUAUAAUUUGUUACAUGAUUUUUGUAAGGGAUUGUCUUGGUGGCUCAAGAAUAUAAUGUGAAAGCUAGUUAUUGCCUUAAAUUUAAUUUUAAUAUAAAAUUUCACUCAUAACAUAAGGCAUGGAUAUUAUCUAUUGUACUUUGAUGACCCUAGUCCCUAAAUGCAAUUUUGCAACUACAAUAUGAAGUGAUUUUGCAAAUGCAAAAGGAAGUGCAUCCUUUGUGCAUGAGCCCACUAACUCCAAAUCAAAAAUACGAUG
rnacentral:lncRNA from 1 species